rnacentral:rRNA from 1 species
UACAGAGACUGCAAGCGUUAUUCGGAUUCACUGGGCGUAAAGGGUGCGCAGGUGCCAAGUGUGUUAGGCGUGAAAGCCCGGGGCUUUAACCCCGGAAUUGCACCUAAAACUACUUGGCUAGAGCAUUGGAGAGGGGAGCAGAAUUCAUGGUGUAGCAGUGAAAUGCGUAGAUAUCAUGAGGAAUACCAGAGGCGAAGGCGGCUCCCUGGACAAAUUGCUGACACUCGAGGCACGAAAGCCGUGGGGAGCAAAAGGG